GGGAUCAUUACUGAGUUUACGCUCUACAACCCUUUGUGAACAUACCUAUAACUGUUGCUUCGGCGGGUAGGGUCUCCGUGACCCUCCCGGCCUCCCGCCCCCGGGCGGGUCGGCGCCCGCCGGAGGAUAACCAAACUCUGAUUUAACGACGUUUCUUCUGAGUGGUACAAGCAAAUAAUCAAAACUUUUAACAACGGAUCUCUUGGUUCUGGCAUCGAUGAAGAACGCAGCGAAAUGCGAUAAGUAAUGUGAAUUGCAGAAUUCAGUGAAUCAUCGAAUCUUUGAACGCACAUUGCGCCCGCCAGCAUUCUGGCGGGCAUGCCUGUUCGAGCGUCAUUUCAACCCUCAAGCUCUGCUUGGUGUUGGGGCCCUACAGCUGAUGUAGGCCCUCAAAGGUAGUGGCGGACCCUCCCGGAGCCUCCUUUGCGUAGUAACUUUACGUCUCGCACUGGGAUCCGGAGGGACUCUUGCCGUAAAACCCCCAAUUUUCCAAAGGUUGACCUCGGAUCAGGUAGGAAUACCCGCUGAACUUAAGCAU
rnacentral:rRNA from 1 species